rnacentral:rRNA from 1 species
GUCUAUGGCCGUGUCACCCUGAACGCGCCCAGGGUCGUCUGAUCUCGGAAGGACCUGGUUAGUACCUGGAUGGGAGACUGCCUGGGAAUACCAGCUGCUGUAGGAU